rnacentral:rRNA from 1 species
GAAUACUCCAUUUUUAUCUUGCCUGAGAAACGGCUACCACAUCUAAGGAAGGCAGCAGGCGCGCAAAUUACCCAAUCCUAAUACAGGGAGGUAGUGACAAGAAAUAACAGUACAGGACUUUUUGGUUUUGUAAUUGGAAUGAGUUAAGUAUAAACCCCUUUACAAGUAUCAAUUGGAGGGCAAGUCUGGUGCCAGCAGCCGCGGUAAUUCCAGCUCCAAUAAAGUUGUUGCAGUUAAAAAGCUCGUAGUUGGAUUUCUGUUAAUAAUUUAUAUAAAAUAUUUUGAUGAAUAUUUAUAUAAUAUUAACAUAAUUCAUAUUACUAUUUUUUUUUUUAGUAUAUGAAAUUUUACUUUGAGAAAAUUAGAGUGCUUAAAGCAGGCAUAUGCCUUGAAUACUCCAGCAUGGAAUAAUAUUAAAGAUUUUUAUCUUUCUAAGAUAAAGCGUAUAUUGAAUAAUG